CAGAUACAUGUGCGCAUGCACGUGUACACACAUGCAUGCAUACACACAUGCAUUUGUAGAUAUAUGUGUAGGUGUGUACACACAACAUACACAUAUGCAUCCACACAUACACAUAUACAUAUGAGGUGGCACGUUCAGCUUUCAAGAGGACCAUCAGGGACUUUGUCACCUUGACAACUUUAGCCUUGCCUUCUAGUCACCUUGCCGGAACACUUGUGCCCGUGUUUUUCUAGCACUGUCAUAAGAAUACUUUUACCUAUCAAGGCAACUGGGGGUUAGGAGAGCUUUUUGCACAGGAGGCUACUUGGCUUUGUUUGAAAACUGAUGAUACAUGAGGAUUGGGGUGGUGAAUCACUCACAUGUUUCUUCAUAUGAAAAAUGAGGACUGUGGGAUUCUCUGGCUGGAUCUCAGCACCUAGAAAUGGAUCUGGGCAAUAGGAACUGCUCAGUAUUAGCUACCGCUUUGGUUGCCUUCUCCUUGCGGAAAGCUGGCCUCUCACACUGAAUUUGUAUCAUAGGCACUCAUGAGGGUCUUGACUGUAUCAAUAUCUGAUGAGAGAUUUUAGUGCAGUUCUGUUAUCGUGGCUGAUUUGCUCAUUUGGUAGCUAGCAUCCAGCUUCUUGUGAACAUUAAAAUAAAAUAAAAUAGAUUAUGGAGGAAUAGAAUACAGAUACGUAGUAAGGUAUUAUUUUCCAGACAAAAUGGAUUUGGAUAAAAGAAUCUAAUUAAGAACUUGUGCAUGAUUCUUUUAAAAUUCUUUUGAAUCCAUUUUUUUUUUUUUGGCCUGUUUUCAAGUCUCCGAUUUUUGUCACCCUUCUCACACCAGGUCAGAGAGAUAGCUAAUGGUCAGAAGGAAUCUUCCAGCAAUGACCAUAGCGCUUUCUCCUGCCUGCAGAUGCCUCUUUUUAUUCAGCCUUUAUGGGAAGUAGCAGCACCAUCCAGUUCUCAGAGAGCAAGCUCUGGAGUAACUGAGCUAACCCCAGUUACCCCAGUGGAUUUACAGAUUGAGGUUACAACCCAGCAGGGUUCUCUUCCUGGAAAGAAUAGCCUUCCCUCUAAGGUUUCAAAUAGACCCUGGGUGAGGAAGGAGCCCUAAACAGCUUGAAAAAUUGAAUGCUCUUUGGGCAAAGCAGGAAGCCGUCCUAUGGAAGAGCAUCAUUUGAGCAUAAAUCAGGUUAUCAGGACAAACAGAGUGUUCAGGAGGUCAAGAUGGUUAAGCAGAGACCCUGACCAGAAUGUCCGUGGCGGAGAGAAACAAUCUUGUUGGGAAAAGGAUGACAAUAAUUGGGGACUUAGAAUAAAGGCUAAAAAUGAUUCAAAGAGAAUGCAAAAAGAAUCAGGCACAAAUCGUUUACUAUACUCUGUUAUGCAAAUCUCACCUUACUAUGUGUUUGUAUUCUAUUCCUCCACAAUCUUUAUUUUAUUUUAAUGUUCAAAGAGACUUGUAGGUGCCAAUUAAAUGAACAAAACAGCCAGAGACAACAGAACUGCCCUAAAAAAAGUCCCGCAUCAGCUCUUGAGAGCAGGUUCCUUAAAGGUGAACAAUAUUCCACAUACAAGGACUUUUUCAGCACCAUGCAUUAGAAAUGGAAGUGAAUGUUUAUUAUUUUUUGUAUAAGUUGGUUGAUAUGGCUUUUCAGCUUCCCUCAGUAUCAUUAUCCAAAUUUUGUAGAUGACACUAAAGCUCAGAGGAGUUAAACCAUUUUCCUUAAAUCACAUAGCUUUAAAUAGGAAAACCAGAUAUGAAAAGCAGAUUUUUUUUCUAAAUUAAAAAACCAAAAACAAAAACACGUGAGCUCUUGCUUUACCCUAGCACAUAGUCUUGCCAUCUGUUUUCUCCACACCAGGUGAUUCCUGUAACAUUCAUUCACAUAACAAAUACAAAUAAAUGAGUGGAUUCAUUCAUCAGAUAUUAAUUCAGAAUCCCUUUUGUGCCUUCCAGAAAUCUGGACCAUCUCACAACCCCCAGAGAGUCUCAGCUACAAGGAACAAGUGAUAAUGCCAUCCCACUUUUAUAAACACACACACACACACAUGCAAUACACACACAAUCAUUUAAUCAUUUUUAAUUAUUUAAUUAUUUUUUAAAAAUCAGUGACACUUUAGCUGGGCAGGUCUAGAUAGGUCUUCUUUGCUGGGACGUGUCUUUUUCUGUCCUGGAAUACCCUAAACUUCACAUUUUGGCAGCGUGAGUUUUCCCUUUGUGACUUUCUCCUUCUUCCCUUUUUUCCUCCUUCUUUGCAGAGAAUGAGUAGCCACUGCACCUUGCCCUGCGCCAUCAAUGAGAAGAUCUGCUCUUAGUAGAGCCCUGCUUUCCCGCUGAAGGCCCUGAAAUCACCUGUGUUCCAGGCCACCCACUAAGGAUAAACAAAGCUUCCCUGAUAUGGGGAAUUAGCUCAAGUGGUAGAGCGCUUGCUUAGCAUGCAAGAGGUAGUGGGAUCAAUGCCCACAUUCUCCAAGCUUUAUUAUUUAGGUACCCAAACCCGAGUCAGUGUCUGAGAGCAAGACACUGCUCUCGGUGUCUUUGGUUCAAGACAUAGGAGCAGCAACAAUACAGGACUGGUGACAGCUUCCUGCUGGCAUUCAGUAUAGUGUAGAUCUACUGUGUAAUUAAUUUUCUGUUUCUUCGAGGAGCUGUGAAACCAAAGGACAUAUAAAACUGCUCUUUUCUCCCUGUUUCUGCCUGCAGCUUGGUCCUAAAUGUGAGACAAUUGUGAAAAGUGGAGGACAGAGCCACCUGGUUAAAUACAGCCCCAGCUUUCUGGUGAGAGGACUGAAACCAAGAUGUGUCAAGUAACUAGAAUGUGCCUGGACAGAUACUGUAGAAAGCAAAACCAUAAAGUUGUUCAUGAGCUUGUGGACGCACCUGCCAGCUGUGAAUAAGUGGCUCUAAUCCCGAACAACUUACCUAAAAAGAGCCUGAGAGCUGAACUGUGCAAUGGCCCACUUUCCAGUCCUCACUGACCACUGGGUUGCACACACUUUGGAGAUCUCUGAACAGCAGUGUCAAGGCUUUCAAAUAGAGUUAUCUUUGAAACGACAACACAUGAAAGUCUGGUUGGUACUUGGAGCUUAAAUACAAGGCAAUUGUGUGCCUGCAAAAACAAAAAUAGCAAUAUUAUCCUUAAGAUUUCAACAAGACACAGUGUCUCAUCACAUAAUCCAAAGAAGUCCAGGUUACAAGCCCCACAAUAUUCAGCAUUAUGAAAAAACAGGGAGAUCUUAAUUCACAUGGCAAAGAGAAUCCUCGAAUAACAAUAUUGAGAGGACACAGAUGUCAAAAUCAUCUGACACAUACAUUAAAGCAGAUAUUAUAACAAUGCUCCUAGAAUCGGGGAUAACAUUCGUGAAGUGAAUGGAAAGUUGGAAAGUCUCACCAAAUAUUUCGAAUACAUAAACACCAAUUUAAACUUAAGAAUUAAAAAAAUGUAUUAACCAAAACUCUUAGGGGAAAUAAAAAGCUUAAUUGGAGGAUCUCCAUAAUCGAAUGCAGAAGACUAAGGAAAAAGUCAAUGAACUUGAAAACAGAACACGAAUACCUACAUAAUCUGAACUAUAGAGAGAAAGGAGGAUUUUAUUGUCUCUGAACAGAGGCUCAGGCACAAAUAAAAAAUAACAAAUCCAACAUUCACAUUAUUGUAAUCUGGAAAGAAGAGGACAAAGUGGUCUUUGUGGGAUAAAACUUUGAACAAUUAAUAGCUGAAAAUGGUUCAAAUUUGUCAAAAGAUAUAAACCAGAUUUUUAAAGUUCAGUAAAUGUCAAUCAGGAUAAACCCAAAGAAACCCAUAGCAAGGCAUAUCAUAAUCAAACUGCUGAAAACUAAGAAAAUACAAAACAAUUUUGAAAGCAGCCAAAGGGAAAUGAAAGAGAAACUACCAAAUGAAUGAUUGUAGAUUUCGCAUCAGGAACCAUAGGGGCCAGAAAAAAUGUCAUAACAUUCGGUAAGUAACAAAAGAAAAAGACAUAUCGACCCAGAAUGCUAUGUGGAGCAAAAGUAUCUUCCAGACAUAAAGGCAAAUAAAUGCAUUCUCAGUGGAAGGUAAGUAAAUACAUUCUCAUUCUUAGGAAGACUGCUGGAAAAGAAUUAGCAAAGAUUUGAGAUAAGAAAAAUGAUACCAGAAGGAAACUUAGAACAUCAUCAGUGAAGGAACAAAAGCAGAAAUAGAACAUGUCUGGGUAGACAUAACAGACUAUUAUUCUUCCCUUGAGUUCCUUAAGGAGACUACGGAAAAGAAGAGUGACUAAGAUCUCUGAAGAAGGGAAAAGCUAGAUGACUGGGCCACAAGAGGAAAAAAAGCAGCAAGACAGGAUGUAUUCUGCAGCAGGAAGUGUGAUGGGCACUGACGCUGCAGAAAGACUCCUGUUGUCCACCUCGGGAGCUGACACGAUAAAUGCGGAGAAUGAGUAGCCACUGCACCUUGCCCUGGGCCAUCAGUGAGAAGAUCUGCUCUUAGUAGAGCCCUGCUUUCCCGCUGAAGGCCCUGAAAUCCCCUGUGUUCCAGGCCACCCACUAAGGAUCAAUAAAGCUCCCCUGAUGUGGGGGAAUUAGCUCAAGUGGUAGAGCGCUUGCUUAGCAUGCAAGAGGUAGUGGGAUCGAUGCCCACAUUCUCCAAACUUUAUUAUUUAGACCCUGGGUCUCCAAACACUCAGGUCUCCAAACCCAAGUCAGAGAACAGGAUGCUGCUUUGGUUCAAGAUGUAGGAGCAGCAACAAUACAGGGCUGGUGACGGCUCCCUCCUGGCAUUCAGUAUAGUGUAGAUCUACCGUGUAAUUAAUUUUCUGCUUCUUUGAGGAGCUGUGAAACCAAGGGACAUAAACAAUUGCUCUUUUCUCCCUGUUUCUGCCUGUAGCUUGAAUGUGAGGCAACUGUGAAAAGUGCAGGGCAGAGCCACCUGGGUAAAUACAGCCCUGGCUUUCUGGUGAGAGGACUGAAACCAGGAUGUGUCAAGUAACUAGAAUGUGCCUGGACAGAUACUGUAGAAAGCAAACCCAUAAAGUUGUUCAUGAGCUUGUGGACGCACCUGCCAGCUGUGAAUAAGUGGGUCUAAUCCCAAACAACUUACCUAAAAAGAGCCUGAGGACUGAACUAAACAAUGGUCCACUUUCCAGUCCUCACUGACCACUGGUUGCACACACUCCAGAGAUCUCUCAUCCGCAGUGUCAAGGCUUUCAAAUAGAGUUAUCUGUGAAACAACAACACAUGGAAGUCUGGUUGGUACUUGGAGCUUAAAUACAAGGCAAUUGUGUGCCUGCAAAAACAAAAAGAGCAAUAUUAUCCUUAAGAUUUCAACAAGACACAGUGUCUCAUCACAUAAUCCAAAGAAGUCCAGGUUACAAGCCCCAAAAUAUUCAGCAUUAUGAAAAACCAGGGAGAUCUUAAUUCACAUGGCAAAGAGAAUCCUUGCAUAACAAUAUUGAGAGGACACAUAUGUCAAAAUCAUCUGACACAUACAUUAAAGCAGUUAUUAUAACAAUGCUCCUAGAAUUACGGGAUAGCAUUCAUGAAGUGAAUGGAAAGUUGGAAAGUCUCACCAAAUAUUUGGAAUAUGUAAACACCAAUUUAAACUUAAGAAUUAAAAAAAGUAUUAACCAAAACUAUUAGGGGAAAUAAAAAGCUUAAUUGGAUGAUCUCAAUAGCAGUAUGCAGAAGACUAAGGAAAAAGUCAAUGAACUUGAAAACGGAACAAGAAUACCUACAGAAUCUGACCUAUAGAAAGAAAGGAGGAUUUUAUUGUCCCUGAACAGAGGCUCAGGGACAAAUAAAAAAUAACAAAUCUAACAUUCACAUUAUUGUAAUCUGGAAACAUUCACAUUAUUGUAAGAGGACAAAGAGGUCUUUGUGGGAUAAAACUGUGAAGAAUUAAUGGCUGAAAAUGUAUCAAAUUUCUCAAAAGAUAUAAACCAGAUUUUUAAAGUUCAGUAAAUGUCAAGCAGGAUAAACCAAAAGAAACCCAUUGCAAGACAUAUCAUAAUCAAACUGCGGAAAAUUAAGAAAACACAAAACAAUUUUGAAAGCAGCCAAAGGGAAAUGAAAGAUAAAAUACCAAAUGAAUGAUUGUAGAUUUCUCAUCGGGAACCCAGGAGCCAGAAAAAAAUGUCAUAACAUUCAGUAAAUACCAAAGGAAAAAUACAUUAUCAACCCAGAAUGGUAUGUGGAGCAAAAGUAUCUUCCAGACAUAAAGGCAAAUAAAUGCAUUCUCAUUGGAAGGUAAAUAAAUACAUUCUCAGUCCUAGCAAAACUGCUGGAAAAGAAUUAGCAAAGGUUUGAGAUAAGAAAAGUGAUACCAGAAGGAAACUUAGAACAUCAUCAAUGAAGGAACAAAAGCAGAAAUAGAAAAUGUCUGGGUAGACAUAACAGACUAUUAUUCUUCUCUUGAGUUCCUUAAGGUAUGUUUGAUGGUUGAAAGCAAAAAUUGUAACUUUAUCUGAUGCAGUUGUCAUUGUAUCUAGAUGUACUACAUACAUAAGAUAAAAGGGUAAAUGUAAUGGGACUAACUCUUGAUGAAGUUUCUAUAUUCAACUUGAAUGGUAAAAUAUUGAUUCUUAGUAUACUGUGAAAAGUUAUAUAUGUAUAUGGUAAUCCCUAGACCACUUAACAACCAGAUUGAAAUAAACCAAAACAAGAUAGACAGAGGAACAUAGAAGAAUUAAAACAAAGGGAAAAAAGGUUAAUAAAUUAUUAAAUAGUAGAUCUAUCUAAAAACUUAUCUAUAAUAACAUUAUAUGUAAAUUAUCUAAAUGCAUUAAGUAAAAACUAGAGAUCAUCAGAAUGUGUUAAAAAUAAAUAUGCUGACUAAAGAAAGCCACCUGCAAUACACUUAUAAAUAAGAAUAAAAGUUAUAGAGCAGAUUGAAAGAAAAGAGUGGGAAAAGAUACCUCAUGCAAGCAUUAAUCAAAGACAGCUGUGGUGUAUAUAUAUAAAAUCAGACAAAGUAGAUUUGAAAGCAGAGAAACUUUUCAGGAAUAAUGAGGCCUCCUAAAUAAUUAUGAUUGUCAAUUUUUCAGGAGAAUAUUGUCCCAAAUGUAUAUGAGGACACAGAGCUUCAAAACUCAUAAACAAAAUUGGAUACGCCAAGUAAAAAUAGAAAAAUCCAGUUAUAGUUGCAGUCAUUAACACUCCUCUCUGAGUAAUUGGAAGAUUUAGUGGAACACAAAUCAACAGACAUACUGGAGAAUUGAACCAUGCCAUCCAGUAAUGGACCUAUCAAUUUCAUAAUGCAAAAUAAAAAUUCAGGUAGAAAGCAAAGACAAAAAUUAAAAGAAAAGCAAGAUCAUGUUAUAAUGAGAAAAUUAAGAGUAGUCCAGUGUAUAGAAGGGUGCUAUUAUUGAAAGAGUUUGAAAUAGUGACUUAGUUAUUUUGAAACAUUUUUGAAGACGUUAUUUAGCUGGAAAUGACAGAAAGACUGAAAAUGGUGAAUGUGGAGGUGGAUCUUCCCUUGUCCAUAUUUAUCUUGUCUUCGUUUGAGGUCUGGGGUGUCUAUACUUCCUCUGAAUUACCUGAUCUUACUACAGUGUCUGGCACAGAGCAUCUCCCCAGUGAAUAUGUACUAAAUGAGUAGAAAGUAAUUGAUAGAUUCAAAAGAGUUGUGCAAGAAUAAUGUUCAUUAUUUGACUAAUCACUGAAUGUGGUGUUUCAAGGAAGACAAUGAAUCAAAGUUGACUUGAAAGGUAAGCCCAGGGCCAGACGUGGUGGCUCAUUUCUGUAAUCCCAGCACUUUGGGAGGCCGAGAUCAGUGGAUCCCUUGACACCAGG
rnacentral:tRNA from 1 species